CGGCUACCCUAACAAGCCCAUCUGCUCCCCCCAGCACAGUCCUGCACACACCCUUCCUGGGUUUCCUGUAGACUAUGUAUUGUCAAGUGAAUUCAUGAAUAUCAGCUACUUGGAUGUUCUCGGAGACUGCCUUUCUGCCUUUGCUGACAAUGACAACUGCCUUGGAAACCACAGGGUCAGCACAUAUGCAAGAAGACAGUCAACAACUGAAAAGUCAGCUUUUCACUUAUUGUUAGGAUGGAAUGUUAACUUUCAAGCUCCUUGUAUGUGGAACUGGAAACAGGAAUUUUUUUUUUUUUUACACAAUCUGAAACUUCAAAAAAGGUUUACAUAUAAUGUAUAGGUAAAAUGAGUAGCAGUUGUAAGCAUGGACUCUGGAGACAGACCCCCUGGGUUUAUUUAUAGUUUGGCUUUGCCAUUUUCAAGAAUUACUUUGUGUCUCUAAGCCUUCACUCUUUUACCUGUAAAAUGGGGAUGGUAGCAAUAUCAUAGUUUGGGGUGAGAAUUAAAUAAGAUAGCAUAUGUAAACAAUGUCUAGUACAUAAUAAGAAGCUCCAUAUUUUUAAA